AAAGAAUGCAGAAAUACACAGGUGGAAAGUCAGAAAAAAAAAGGUAGAUAUAAAACUCAACAAUUUUACGUAAUUUGCCAAUACCACGUUGUAUUUGAAGCUUGAGUACGUUUCACCAUUCCAUGCUUGCUACUCGCUGCUGCCACCAUGUGUUACUGCAAAUUCCUCCUGAAGUGAUAGGGCCCCUUGAAACAGAAAGGUGCGCUGCUGUGCCUGGGAAGGACCUGAAAACUGGUAAGACACUACCCAAGAGAAAAGCUGAGAAAUAGGAAAGCCAUUCCUUGGAACGGUGGGCAUUACUGGAAACAGUACAAUAGACUUGAGAAGAGCGCCCUGUAAACAAAAGAGUUGGAUUUAGCAUUGAGGAGUCAUGCUAUUUGAUCCAAACAGACAUUACAGGUAUGCACUGGGAAGUGUCAGAAUACCACAGUGUGUACAAGGAAAUUUUUGAGAAAACGGAAACAGUGUUGUCACGGCAUUUUCACAGUAGUACAAGGCAAGAGAACAAGAGAAAACAGACAUGCCUUGAAAGAUUAGAAGUUCUGACUAGAUAAAUGGAAACAGCAUGAGGGCCAUCAAGAAUGGAAAGACACUGCCCAAAGAAGAAGUUAAGAAAAUAUUCAUUGCAUCAAGAGCCACAAGAGCCACAAGAAUGAGCAACGUGAUUGACAGAAGGUUUUAAAAGAAUUGUGACAUUUUUGGCUAAAGCAAUCAUAGGAUCGCAGUGCAGUAGAAAUGGCUUUGGGAGAAAGUUGAAACCAUGCUGAACCCUCUCAUUUAUCUGCAAAAACAUAUUACUCACGUGGCAACAAUACUGACACUGUAUUGAACUGUUAUAUAGUAUCGUCCGCAAUUCAUUUUGGAUAAGAAAAGUAAAAUGUGAUUCAUCUAGUGUGCUCUGUUCCCCAAACAUAUAGUGUGCUAUCCAGUUGGUUUUUACAAUGCAAUAUAUAGGAGAUCGAAUCCCAGUGAGAUAGUUUCAUGAAUUUAUCACUUAUGGCUACAGAUAUGGUAUACUGUGGCAAUUAUCAGUUUGCAAGAAUAAGAUCUCUCUGCUUCAGAGUACCACGGUCACGACAAUGCAUCAACUAUAUGAUGACAUUACACACUUUUAUAGGCACAAUUAAAAAGACUGAAUGAGUUUGCUGAGUGUGUUCUCUGUAUGGGGUAAUGCUUAACUGUAAUAAUUAUAUAUUGAAUGAUGCAUGCGAGUUAUGUCGCGUGACCUGAUUAGUCAGAAAUAGUGUUUCCACUCUUUGGAAUGAGAUUGCUAUCAGUUGCAAUAAAACAAGCAAGACUCUACUUGAUGUGAACUGUGUGCUGCUAACAUGGUUGAGCCUUUGAACUUGUAUAUAAGACAUUUGAGAGACUAAUUCUAAGGAGCUGAAAUGGAGGUAGAGCGAACAGUUUCAGAACCUGACUGCAAUGACAGGAAUGGAGGUAUGUGUUGAUGAAAUGGUUUUAGGACAGUCACUACCAGAACUGUUUCUCAAGGAAAAAAUGUGUGCUGAUUUUGCCUAUACCCUAAAGCAGGGCAGUUUCAGUCUGAUUUCUAGGUCCUCCAUCUGAAUUGAUUUCUUUAAGGCACACCCUUCUAUCUGGAAUUUGUUUGAUCAAAUUUGUUUGAUCGUGUGAGAAUGUUUGCCACACAGAGAGACUCCUUCGCCAUCUUUUGCUUAUGCUUCGUCUUGCCUUGCAGAGAGAUCUAGACAGAUUAAAGAACUGGGCAAUCACCAACCCAUGAAAUUUAACAAGUGUCAGAUUCUGCACCUGGGAAAGGGCAAUCCCAGCUGUGCAUACAGACUGGGGGUAUGAGAUGCUGGAGAGCAGCCCUGCUGAAAGAGAUCUGGGGGUCAAGAGCAAGUUCAACAUGAGUCACCAGUGUGUCCAGGCAGCCAGGAGGGCCAACUGAAUCCUAGGGUGCAUCAGGCCCGUGCUGCCAGUGGGUGAGGGAAGGGAUGUCCUACUCUACACUGCACUGGUGUGGCUUCACCUUGAGUACUGUGUGCAUUUCUGGGUGCCACAGUACAAAAAGGACAUAAAAAUAUUAGAGAGUGCUCAAAGGGGUACAAAGAUGGGGAAGGUUCUAGACGGGAAGAUGUAUGAGGAGCAGCUGAGGUGCCUGUUUGCUCAGCCCAGAGCAGAGGAGCUGAGGGGUGGCCUCAUGGUGGCUGCAGCUCUCACAGGGAACGGAGGGGCAGCGCUGAGCUCUGCUCUCUGUGACAGCGACAGCGCCCGAGGGAACGGCAUGGAGCUGUGUCAGGGGAGGGGCAGAUUGGGGGUCAGGAAAAGGUUCUUCACCUGAGGGUGGUGGGCUGGGAACGGGCUGCCCAGGGCAGUGGUCAUGGCACAGAGCUGACGUAGUUCAAAAACCAUCCAGACAAUGCUCUCAGACAUAUGGUCUGAUUUUUGGGUAGUCCUAUGUGGAGCCAGAAGUUGGACUUGAUGAUCCUUAUGGGUUCCUCCCAACUCGGGAUAUUCUAUGAUUCCAUGAUUCAUCUGUGCAUAGCAGUUACCAGAGGCUCAAGCCUACCUCCUGUCCCAGCCCUUCCUGCACUUGAAGGCCCCACACUGCUCCUCACACUCAGGCUGUGGUCCUUCCAGUUUGCCCGUUCUUUAAUUCCAGGGAAACAGUUAUUCCUUGGAGGAGGCAUGUCCUUCAAUUGUCAUUCCUUCCUGUUGUGGAGGGAGCCUGGCAAUAGUAAAUAUGGUAAAACAUUGAUUCUGCCCAAAGGACACCUCACAUCUGCUGCUUUGCUUACACUCUUCUCCUCAUCUGAGGAUCUUCCAACAAGUUACUAAGGAGGCAAAGUGAAUCCUGUUUCUUCAUAUUAAACCUGCUUCCCAUUAUUUCAAUGCAGCUUCUCUGUUUAGUGCAAACACUUUCAUGACAGAGGUCUCUACCUCUGGGGUUUGGCUGCCCUGUCCCCCUUCCCUCUGUCUCAGUCUUUCUGAUCUGGGGAAGUUCAAGUACCUUCUCAUCCCAAAGGCCUUAUCUAACCAUAGCUAUCUGUGGGUCAAGAAGUCCUUUCACAUGCAUUACUGGUGCUUAUGUGAGCACUGUGGGGAAGCUUUGCUCUAUAG
ensembl:lncRNA